UACUAUGGUUUGUCAUUAUUUAAUGCGGACUUCCUAUGCUCCCUUCCUACACCCUCUCCAAAGAAAAGCAGAAGCAGGCAGUGCUCCUCCUCCACCGUUGAACAGGUCCCAUUAAUUUGUGGGCCUUUCAGUAAUCAAAAGCUAGUAGACCACAUGUGCACAGAUUCAGCCUAGCAGCAGUAUAAGAGAUAUUCGUGAAGAUCACCAGGGGGCGAUAAAAACUUAGGUACUGAGUGCGGGGAUGAGCGAGCCAUUAUCUCGCAUUAAGGUUAACCUUCAACAACUCAGCUUAACAUUAAGGCAGGAAGGUGCACUGAGCCACAUCGGACAAGGGUAUACUUAGCUGCUUAUUUGUGACGCCAUUCCCUCUUGGGAAGGAGCUGUGGCCCUAAGAAGCUGGGACUUGAGUUACCUGGUUUUUUUUGUCUACUCCACCAGCAUUGCUGUGUUUUUAAAUACAUUCAUUCCACCAUGACUUCCGUGGUAGAAAGACCCCAAGCACUGCGGCUCGCACCCCAAUUCCCAGCAAGGGUCUUCCAGGCAGGCAAUUAAGUGGCAAGAGGGCACCUCCGCAGACGUUGCAUCGAUUUCCGUGGGUCUCCUCCAAGGUUGCCCAAGCCUGGAAGCAAGUCAACGCGGAUCAAGAGAAGACGCCAAAGAAAGGAGGGCGUCCACCUCGGACGCAGACCCCAAAGGCUGUUUGGGCGCCUCUUGCAGCUCCAGGCUGGGGAACGUGGUCGGGCCUGCCGGUUUCCGUUGCUCGGAGUCGCGCCCUGCUUUCGGUUUCUUUGCGGCGAGAAGAAACGACGGCGAACAACGCGCAGCUGCGGCGAGGGAGGCGAAGAGGCAAAUGGCACGGAUGCUUCCACCACCGAGAGCAGUUCAGAGAGUCGAGUAGGAAGACCCUGUUAUAUGCGUGAUCCUUUGAGGGUGGCAACUCCAAAGGCACUGAUGAAGGCUCUUGCCCUGGUUUGAAUACUGUCAUUGGAUUACACCCAAGGCGGGAGGAGGUGAAAGGAGACCUGCUUUGUAUUAGUGAUAAAGGAAUAAGCAUUGAACAGGUGUUUUUUCAAUGGGUUUUAGGAAGUGUGCAUUCCACACCCAUACUUCAGGGUGUGAUUUAGAAGUGCCUCUAUUUGAGUUGAGUUGGUUGCGUCUUCAUAAUUUGUGUCAGUGUUAACCAGACUGGUAUUUAGCAAGAAUUUGUAGUGUAGUACAA